rnacentral:SRP_RNA from 1 species
CGCGGGAGCCGGCGGGCAGGCCACUCGCGAACCCGGUCAGGUCCGGAAGGAAGCAGCCGCAACGAAUCCGGUCUGGGUCGUUGGCUCCCACCCUU